GUCUACGUCUAUACCACCCUGAAUGCGCCUGAUCUCGUAUGAUCUCGGAAGCUAAGCAGGGUCGGGCCUGGUUAGUACUUGGAUGGGAGACCAUCUGAGAAUACCGGGUGCUGUAGGCU
rnacentral:rRNA from 1 species